rnacentral:rRNA from 1 species
GACGAACGCUGGCGGCGUGCUUAACACAUGCAAGUCGAACGGAAAGGCCCCCAUCUUGGUGGGGGUGCUCGAGUGGCGAACGGGUGAGUAACACGUGGGUGAUCUGCCCUGUACUUCGGGAUAAGCUUGGGAAACUGGGUCUAAUACCGGAUAGGACCAUGGUUUAGUGUCUCAUGGUGGAAAGAUUAUUGUUUUGGUGCAGGAUGAGCUCGCGGCCUAUCAGCUUGUUGGUGGGGUAAUGGCCUACCAAGGCGUCGACGGGUAGCCGGCCUGAGAGGGUGGACGGCCACAUUGGGACUGAGAUACGGCCCAGACUCCGACGGGAGGCAGCAGUGGGGAAUAUUGCACAAUGGGCGCAAGCCUGAUGCAGCGACGCCGCGUGGGGGAUGACGGCCUUCGGGUUGUAAACUCCUUUCGUUAGGGACGAAGCCACGCUUGUUGGGUGUGGUGACGGUACCUUUGUGAAGAAGCACCGGCUAACUACGUG